rnacentral:rRNA from 1 species
GGGAGUACCGGUCGCAAGAUUAAAACUCAAAGGAAUUGACCGGGGGCCCGCACCAAGCGGUGGAGNCAUGUGGUUCAAUUCGAAGCAACGCGAAGAACCUUACCAGCCCUUGACAUCCCGGUCGNCGGAGAGCAGAGACGCACUCCUUCAGUUCGGCUGGACCGGAGACAGGUGCUGCAUGGCUGUCGUCAGCUCGUGUCGUGAGAUGUUGGGUUAAGUCCCGCAACGAGCGCAACCCUCGCCCUUAGUUGCCAUCAUUUAGUUGGGCACUCUAAGGGGACUGCCGGUGAUAAGCCGGAGGAAGGUGGGGAUGACGUCAAGUCCUCAUGGCCCUUACGGGCUGGGCUACACACGUGCUACAAUGGCGGUGACAGAGGGAUGCAAAGGGGCGACCCUUCGCAAAUCUCAAAAAGCCGUCUCAGUUCGGAUUGGGGUCUGCAACUCGACCCCAUGAAGUUGGAAUCGCUAGUAAUCGCAGAUCAGCACGCUGCGGUGAAUACGUUCCCGGGCCUUGUACACACCGCCCGUCACACCAUGGGAGUUGGUUUUACCUGAAGACGGUGCGCUAACCGCAAGGAGGCAGCCGGCCACGGUAGGGUCAGCGAUCUGGGGUGAAGUCGUAACAAGGUACC